rnacentral:sRNA from 1 species
UUGCAAGAGGAUUUUUGAUCUCUUGACUCGCCAAAAACAUGAGUAAGUAGCCAUUUUUUGAAGAAAAAUGAGCGGAUUACGAAUGUUUUUGAAGAUUGCGGGAGUGCAAAGCACGUAGCAAUCUGGUAUCA